rnacentral:rRNA from 1 species
CCCGAAGCCGGUGGAGUAACCAUUUGGAGCUAGCCGUCGAAGGUGGGACAAAUGAUUGGGGUGAAGUCGUAACAAGGUAGCCGUAUCGGAAGGUGCGGCUGGAUCACCUCCUUUCUAAGGA